rnacentral:rRNA from 1 species
UACGUAGGGGGCGAGCGUUGUCCGGAUUUAUUGGGCGUAAAGAGCGUGUAGGCGGCCAGGUAGGUCUGCUGUGAAAACUCGAGGCUCAACCUCGAGACGUCGGCGGAAACCAUCUGGCUAGAGUCCGGAAGAGGAGAGUGGAAUUCCUGGAUGUGAGCGGUGAAAUGCGCAGAUAUCAGGAAGAACACCCGUGGCGAAGGCGGCUCUCUGGGACGGUACUGACGCUGAGACGCGAAAGCGUGGGGAGCGAACAGG